CCGGAUCACAGCUGCCUGAGGCUUCUAGGGUUUCAUCCUACACCUCCCUUCCCCGCACCCGCACCCCAGGAGAUGCUAGACACACACUGGCAUUGACAGAGCUGUCUACCCCACGGCAGGCCACCCCCUUUGACAAGUUGUGAUUAAUUCUGAGAGUGGAGGAUCAGGGUAAACAGGUUAGGGUGUCUCCGGUUGGCUGGCUGGCAAGACCAUUCGGUCAUAAUGUGAACUGGGAAACCCCGACUGGUCGGGGGUUACCGCUUGGGGCCAGGUGUUUCCCUGGGCCCGGAGUAGUUGCACACGUGGAGGGCAUGGAACCCCUCGCCUCAGGGUGACGCCGAAGAAGUUGGCCCCAACUCCAGACCCACAUGACUGUCCAGCUGACUCACCAGCCUGAGAAAAGGAAACAGAAGAGGAAAACCCAGAUUUGAGGCCAGGGGAUGGAACAUGGAGAAACACGACAAAGGAGAAGCUUAAAGCAGAACAGACCACAGCCAAGGAGAUGUCUCUGAGUUGGAAGGAGAACACCACCAUUUUCUUCAAAAUAUUUUAUUGCCAUGUAGAGAUGACCCAACGAGAGAAACUGAGGCCCGAGCCAAACAGCCUCCACGGAGUAUCCAGUUUGCAUCUUCCAGCUGUCCCAGCAUCUCAGCCUGCACCAAGUUAAGCAGAACGUCUUGGUAAAGCCUCAAGUUAAUUACUCGUCUGGGGGCUGCACUCUUCCCCAUUUGGCACUCUCUUGAAGGAAUCUUUGGUUUACCCUCUAGCAAUAAAACUGCCACCCACUUCUCAGAGGUCCCGAGGACCACUUGGUGCCGGAGGAGGCUGGCUCUGCCUUGGAGAACCAAUGGAGGGGAUCUUUUCCCCACUCCACAUUCGGUAACUUGAAAUUGGCCAGGACAGGCGCAUGUCCACCAUGAAAACUGGUGGAUGUUUUUCCCUUGGAGAACCAGUUGUCGAACAUUUCCCAGCACACCAUUGCCCUGAGCCCUGAAAUGUGCCUGGGCAACCUCACCGCACCCUCCUACUACAGCCUCGGACACAGUGGUUCUCAAACUCAGAUGUAUAGAACCCACCCAAGGGACUUGCACACUUCGCAAAUACUCACCCUCCUUGUCGCUCAUCUUCCAGCCAUAACCGGGACAUGGUAGGAACUCAAGAAAUGCUUCUUGAGUGAAAAAAUGAACACGACUUUAAGGUGGGUAGUAGUAUCAUCUGCAUUUUACAGAUGAGGAAACCAAGGCACAAAAUUGUUGGAAAAAAAAAAAGUUGCCCAAGGUAGCAUAGCUAGUAGGUACAGGAGUCAAGUGCAGGUCUGUCUGGCCCAGACAAAUGCACAUAGUGGACUGAAAGAUCCCAGGCGAUGGCCCUGCAGAGUCCCAGUGCCUGGUCCCACCUAACAGCGAUGGCGGGUCCCACCUACCAUCACGGCUGGCUUAUUAUCAGCAAUCAUUUUGGCCCAGCCAUGAUGGUGCCCUUAGUGAGCUCAGGGCAGUGGACUUACACAUUGUGAACUGACUACGGGACAAUGCCUGAACUGUGCAGCAAACAUGACUAUGAGGCAGUAUCACGUGAAAUUUUGGAGAAUGGGUUUGGGGUCUAAAAGCACUGGGUUCACAUACCACCUAGGCACCUCAAUUUCCUCAUAUGCAAAAGAGGACUUAUUCCUUAGGUUAGUCAAUUUGUUGACUUAAAAAUAUUUGUGUAGUACCUACUCAGCCAUAUACUACAGGCAAAACAGGCUUCAUGGCCCCUGUCUUUCUGGAGGUUAAGAAAUUCUGAAUAAUACAAAACAUGAUGCAUUUUCAAACUCAACCCCUGGCAUGUACAAAGUGCUUGUCUUAAUCAGAAUUCCUAGUAAAUAACCGUAAGUUCUGUGGAUGCAGAGGCUGCACCCAUCGUGAUAAUUGCUGUAUUUCUAGUUCCUGGCACAUAAUUGAUGCCCAAUAAGUUUUUCUUGCAUACAUUAAA
ensembl:lncRNA